ACAAGAAGAAGAAGAAGAAGGACAUGGCAGCCAUUGUGUCCCCAGAAAGUCGACAACAGCCGACAUAAAAUGUUUUUAUGGUGUUUUUUGGACAGUUAGCUGGUUAAAUCUGCUGUUAAGGAGGAAAAUGUUUGUUUUGAAAUGUUUUUAGUGCUUCAAGACUAAGAAGAGUGAUUUUUGUGACCAGGAAAUAUCAUAAAACUAAGGAUUAUCGUCACAACGGCCGCCAUUUUGAAUCGCUUCUGGCCAUCAAAAGAGGACACAUUAUGCAUCAAAAUUUAGGAACAAACAGCGCUGCAGAUUGGAACAAAAACAUUAAAAAGAUGAAAAAUCUGCAUUCAACAAGAGCACAAGUCUCACAUCAUGAUGCUGCUGCCACCGUGCCUCACAGUUCUGAGCUCUGAGUCUCAUCUUGACUGCUC